CGGGCCGGCCCGAAAAGACCGGGCCCAUCCACCAUAUACGAUCGUGCCUAGGGCACGAUCGUGGUAGAGAGGAGAACGGGAGAGAGGGCGGCGGCGUUAGAGGAGAUCGCCGGAGAGACGAGCGUCGGAGGGAGGAACCGGCCGGCCGCGGAGGAAGCCAGAAGCUUUUCCCUCCCUCGGUGAAGAUCCCCCACAAAUCGGGAGAAGUCUCGGAUCCGUGCGUGAAAACCCAAGACCCCUCCUCCGAUUCCUCGCCGGAAAGUCGCCGGAACACCCUCAUCGGGCCGAGGGGAAGAGUCAGCGGUGCCAGGAGGUUUUGAUCAGGGGACUCAGCACCCCAGCUCGUAGGUUGUGAUCCAGAUCUGUAUUUGAGUCUGUCUACAAUUUCUAGUUACAUGAUGCAUUGAUUUGGACAGGAUGGGCGCAGAGUGCGAGU